UAUGGAUUGAUCACAUGACUAACGUCUUCAGGUUAAUAAACGUUCAGUAAACACAAAACUCAAUAGAAAAUUUUGAAAGUUAUGAAUUGUGGAAAUUACUUGAUCUAGGACCUUUACACACGGUGUUCCUCGAAAAGACAAAUGAUGAUAUAUCCCAUCUUUACAUCAGCCUCGUUUUCAUACGCGUUAGAUUCAAUAUGGCGUCAAACCUGACUGAAGUCUGCUGUUUGUACUAAUCAAUCAACGGCACCAAACGAAGAAUUUGGUGUAAGAAGAUUUUUAUUGGGUAUGUAAGCAUUAAUUCCAAUUCAGAGUCCACAUAUUUAACCAAGUACCAACAAUGAGGAAAACUGAGGACGUGUUGAGAGAAGAAACUGAUUGCGAUGAAGCCGACAGAGAUGAGAUUACCGAGCCUUGAAUUUAAGAGUUGAAUUUUCACAAACAGAAAUGGCAGAGCAUUGAGGUGAAAUAUGACCCAGAUGUGCUUUCAAGAGGGAUGCACCCUCAUAAACCCUUUGAACAAGACACACCCAUUUGAUUGAGACACGCCCCCUUAAAGUGACAGGCUGUUUUAAAAACAAGGGCCAUGUAUGUUGAUAUGCACAGGUGUGUCUGUACGUUUGCUAGAAACAUGCACCUUCAUAUGUUUAUUGAUCCGUCACAUAAACACACACACAUACACACACACACACUCACAGUCACUUCCCAAACUCAUUUACACAAACACACACACACACACUUCCCUGUCUGAUGGAGUGUUAAAAUGACACGUUUGAAUGACAACACCCCUGAAAAACCUUCCUUAAUGAGACACACACUUAAUAUAUAAUCAAUAAUCAAUUAUUUUUUCUUCGUUUUCCUAUUGCACUUUAGCAUUUUUUUUUUUUUACAUGUGAUAAAAUUACCAUAUAAAAGAUCCGAUAAACAAUAAAUGUAUAUGUACAUAUAA